rnacentral:rRNA from 1 species
GAUGAACGCUGGCGGCGUGCCUAAUACAUGCAAGUCGAGCGAACGGACGAGAAGCUUGCUUCUCUGAUGUUAGCGGCGGACGGGUGAGUAACACGUGGAUAACCUACCUAUAAGACUGGGAUAACUUCGGGAAACCGUAGCUAAUACCGGAUAAUAUUUUGAACCGCAUGGUUCAAAAGUGAAAGACGGUCUUGCUGUCACUUGUAGAUGGAUCCGCGCUGCAUUAGCUAGUUGGUAAGGUAACGGCUUACCAAGGCAACGAUGCAUAGCCGACCUGAGAGGGUGAUCGGCCACACUGGAACUGAGACACGGUCCAGACCCCUACGGGAGGCAGCAGUAGGGAAUCUUCCGCAAUGGGCGAAAGCCUGACUGAGCAACGCCGCGUGAGUGAUGAAGGUCUUCGGAUCGUAAAACUCUGUUAUUAGGGAAGAACAUAUGUGUAAGUAACUGUGCACAUCUUGACGGUACCUAAUCAGAAAGCCACGGCUAACUACGUG